rnacentral:rRNA from 1 species
GACGAACGCUGGCGGCGUGCUUAACACAUGCAAGUCGAACGGAAAGGCCCCUUUGGGGGUACUCGAGUGGCGAACGGGUGAGUAACACGUGAGUAACCUGCCCUUGACUUCGGGAUAACUUCAGGAAACUGGGGCUAAUACCGGAUAGGAAUCCUUGCUGCAUGGUGGGGGUUGGAAAGCUUCGGCGGUUUUGGAUGGACUCGCGGCUUAUCAGCUUGUUGGUGGGGUAGUGGCUUACCAAGGCUUUGACGGGUAGCCGGCCUGGGAGGGCGACCGGCCACAUUGGGACUGAGAUACGGCCCAGACUCCUACGGGAGGCAGCAGUGGGGAAUAUUGCACAAUGGGCGGAAGCCUGAUGCAGCAACGCCGCGUGCGGGAUGACGGCCUUCGGGUUGGAAACCGCUUUCAGCAGGGGCGAAGCUUGUGGUGACGGUACCUGCAGAAGAAGCACCGGCUAACUACGUG